rnacentral:lncRNA from 1 species
AUGUUGAGGAUGCAGAAAGUUGGCAUGGAAGGCCAAUGCCAAAAGAAAGAGCAGAUGCAAUUAUCAAAUUAAUUGAGAGCCAGAUACAGUCCAACAAAAUUCUUGUACCUUCACCCCCUAUUGAGAACUCACCUCAAAUUAACAUCAUGGAUAUACAUAUGGCCUCGCCCCCUGCUUAUGUAGCUGAUGACAUGGUAGGCAAAAGAUGUAGAAUAUUGAAUAACAUAUAUUUUAUAAUUGUUUUUUUCUUCCUUAAUACACAGGAAUCGUCAUUUACCAAUUAGACAAUAAUGGAAUUUGACUGAUGGUUAUAAGUUGUAAAGGUGUCUACUCAAAGAGCAUGUGGUUUGGCUCUGGCUAAACUGGGCCAUGAAAAUGACAGAGUUAUUGUGCUGGAUAGUGACACCGAGAACUGCAACUUUUCUGACAUAUUCAAGAAAGAACACCCAGAGAGGUUCAUCCAGUGUUAUAUUGCUGAACAAAACAUGGUGAAUGUGGCUCUAGGAUGUGCCACCCGUGACCGGAUCAUUGCUUUUGCUUGCACCUUUGCUGCCUUUUUCACCCGAGCAUUUGAUCAGAUUCGAGUGGGAGCCAUCUCUCAAAUCAACAUCAACCUUAUUGGUUGUCACUGUGGGGUAUCUACUGGUGAUGACAACCCCUACCAUAUGGCAUUGGAAG